ACCGAACCAACUGGAGAGCGUCGCGGCAGGCUGGCAGACACCAGCGCCGGCGGCCGCCGAAGGGGCAAGCCGAAGUCCGGGUGGACCAGGCGAAUCUCUCAGGCAAAAGGACAGUGGGGGCAGG
rnacentral:ncRNA from 2 species